AGUGAACGCUGGCGGUAGGUCUAACACAUGCAAGUCGAACGGCAGCACAGUAAGAGCUUGCUCUUACGGGUGGCGAGUGGCGGACGGGUGAGGAAUACAUCGGAAUCUACUUUUUCGUGGGGGAUAACGUAGGGAAACUUACGCUAAUACCGCAUACGACCUACGGGUGAAAGCAGGGGAUCUUCGGACCUUGCGCGAUUGAAUGAGCCGAUGUCGGAUUAGCUAGUUGGCGGGGUAAAGGCCCACCAAGGCGACGAUCCGUAGCUGGUCUGAGAGGAUGAUCAGCCACACUGGAACUGAGACACGGUCCAGACUCCUGCGGGAGGCAGCAGUGGGGAAUAUUGGACAAUGGGCGCAAGCCUGAUCCAGCCAUACCGCGUGGGUGAAGAAGGCCUUCGGGUUGUAAAGCCCUUUUGUUGGGAAAGAAAAGCAGCAGGUUAAUACCCCGCUGUUCUGACGGUACCCAAAGAAUAAGCACCGGCUAACUUCGUG
rnacentral:rRNA from 1 species